GAAGUGUUAGAACCAGCAAGCAGGUGAUUGCAAGUACCUUUUGCACUCUGUGUCUGCCUCUAUAAGGAAAGAAAGAGGCUGCUUUCAUUCAGGUAGGACAGACCUACCAAAGUAACUGGGUCUGCAGUCAGGUUAAUAAAAAAUAUGCACUAUUCUGUCUCAGUUGGAAUGGGCUAAAGAGUGCUUGCACUUUUGUGUCUACCACAACAGAAAAUUCAGAGUGAGAGUACAAGCUGGUUCAGAGCCUCUCCCCAAGGCUGUUCCUCUAACCAGGACCUCAACAAGGCAUAAUUUUUGAACUGCACAUUAAUUAUCAGCUUGACAGUUCUCUUCCAUUUUUACUGUAUUUUCAAGUUGGCUUACCUGUGUUACUAGAGGCAGGCUCACAUGUCUGUUCACAGGAAUGUUGCUAAUGAAUGGUUGAAGGUUUUCAUUGCCUUUGUGAGCUGACACAGAGGCUCUCUCCUUCCUUUGCUGUUUGGCAGUCAAAGCAAAGGAGGCAGGCUGGGCAUGCCUGCAUCUGUAGCAUCCAGACUCUUUAGUAGUUAUGUUUAUUGCUCCACACUCAAGAGUAAAUCCAGUGAGUACUUGAGCAUCCAUAAGUGUCUCUGGCACUGGAGAGCAGUGAUAACUGAGACGGUUCCAGUUUCAGGCCUCACAUGCAGAUGGGACUGAUCAAAAAGUUCUAGGGCUGGUGUCCAGGAGCAGCCCAAUCACCAAAACAGACUCUAUGGGGCAUGACUGCCCUGCACCCUGUCCUGCUAGGGUAUGGGAUUGCUCCUUAUUCCAAUACUUCAUCCUCACCGUACCAGUGUCAUGGGACUGAUCUGCAGAGGUGCAGCUCAGCAGCACAAAGAGCAACACAGCAGAGCCUCAACCUCUUCUUAUGCUUCAGGAUGAAACCUGGUCAGGCAGAAGGCUGGGUUUGUCCCUUCAUGCGCAGAGGGAAAUUCAAUUUCCUACUUCUCUCCCCAAUUAAAUAUCCCCCCUUAAAAAAACACACUUGGUUGCACCAUCUAUAUCUGUUUCUCACACUAAUCUUUUAUUUCCUGAGUAGCUUCUCCUUCCUUCUCUCCCUCCCACUGUGAAAAUGUUUUAUUAAAGAUUUUUUCCCCAAGAGAAGAGGUGUGUGGCUAAGAGAUAAGCAUGUAUGCAUAGCUUUCCAGUAACAGGAUCGCUGCAGCCAGUCAGAGCUGAUCUGUUACAAGAGGACUCAGACUCCUGAUCUCAUCUUGGAAGAAGCACUUGUCCCAGAGUGAGUAUAGAGUUUUGUGACCUAGGGGUGAGGCUGCUCUUACUGUGGAAAAGGAGCAGAGUUCAGAAGAGAGCCACAGAUGAUCAGGCUUUUGCUUCUGCUGUUUCUGGGGCAAGGAGAAGGUAUGCUACUGAUGUGAGGGGUUGUCCCAUCAUGUUUUGCUGCCACCCUGGACACUAAUACCUUGUUUGGAAGUAGGCUGGCCACCAGUGGAGGAAGUUGAUGGUAGUCACUGAUGCCUUCAGGCAGCACCUGCUUUGCAGGUGCCUAGACAUCAGCACGUGUGGGCAAGCAAAACAGCUUCAGAAAGCGUGUCCCCAAAGCUUGCUCACUGCUUCCAUCAGAAUUGCUCUUGGCCAGUAUGGCACUACCAGUUUGUCAAAUGCCCACCUCUGGCUGCGUAUGCAGAGACACCAGCAAUUCAGCUUGUCACUGCCUCUCAUUCCUGACUAUCUGCUGCUUCAGCUUUGUGGCUCUGUCUGUACCACUUUCAGAGGGUUGCCUGUGGUAAUCACUCAGCCAAAAUUUCUGCUGACUUGUCCGAAUAAGUUUUCAUCCUGUCAAAAAAGUAUGGAUACUCUGUUCAUUUAAUAAUUCGCUCAGGCAGAAUCUUAUGUAAUAACAUUCAUAACACCCUUUUUCCUUAACUUCCUUUGCUGCAGUGAGACCUGGGAAUGACAGCUGUGGAUCUAAAUACUGUCUGUCUUAGAAAUGAAGGUGAAACUCAACUGACACGUGUUAGAUUCAGCAAUAGCAUUAGUGGCAAGAGCCAGAAGCUGUGGAAAAGGUUGUAAAACCAGCUCAAACUUUCAUUGAGGAAAAAACUGGAUUAUGGGUUGGAAGCAAAUACAAGUUUUGGAAAAGAAAGGAUCAUCUGAUCCAAACAUCACACCUAUGGAACUGUCCUCAACAUCUGAACUUCAUUUGGCACUGCUUAAAAUGAAAACUAAACCAGUGACAGGUCUGGAAACUCCUGAGCUAUGGAUCCGAGGAGGAAGGUUCACAUCUACAAUCCAGAACUGGAGCCAGAUGUAACUUGUGGAGCAGAGCCUUUUCCUGUACAGGUAAAAUAGUGGGAUCCGACAGAGCCGGCAACUCUGCAAUGGAUAAUCUGUCUUGUAAAUGCAUUGUCUUGGAUUACCAAGUGGCUCAAGGAGAAAAAAGUGUCUCAGUUUGGGAACUAAACCAAAAAUGCAUUAUUCAUCCAGCCCUUUUCAAAAUCCUGUCUAUGAUCAUCUAAGACUGGGGGUACACUGAGGACCUUCCUAAGUCAUUGGCUGCAGGGACAAUGAACGCCAGAAAGAGAAGAUGGCAACUUCCCUGAGGCUUCUCCAGAGUUGUUGAGAACCAACAACAAAAGAAAGUCUGCACUCAUCAUUUCUUAGCAGCAAAAGCAAUGGCCCAAGAGAAAUCAAGGCAGAAGAACCAAAAACUCAGCAGAAAAAGAAUGAGAAGAAACAGACAGAGCAAAACCCCCCAUCCUUCCACAGAAAGCAGGUGAGGAAGAGGCACACUAAAAGCAGGACAACAGCAAGUCUGGUGACACGGUGUGCCAGCGCAGAAAGCUUAAAACAUGAAUGGCAGGUAGUUUGGCAGUCGUAUCUGCAGCAUGAGAUGUCACGUGGGCAAAGCAGAACAGCCAUGAUGGAAAAUCUGCCUGCCUAAUAAAGAUCAGUUCCUUGAAAGAACAGGUUUUUGUGGGACAAAAGAUCUUUUAAGCUGCCUGGACAUCGUUGCAGUCUUACUCAGAGCCACAUUGCAGAAAAUGUUUUGGGACACAAUGAAGAUGGAAUACAACAUACAUACAAGAACAUUGUAGUUGUAUAUGCGCUCUUGUUUCUUUACACUACUAUGUUAAUGGGCUGUUUGCUGAUAAAAAAACCACGCUUACUGUGCACUGAAUCCAUUUCUAGUUAUAAGUUAAAAAUUCUUCUCUUAGGAAGAUCCCUCUGUAUUGUGCAGGUGUGUGUGGAAUCCUGAGCAUUUUAGUGACUCUACAUCUUCUUAUUUUAGUUGGAGAUGUCUGAAGUAAAAUUUCUAAAUCAAAAUGAAUAACUUUAAAAAUGUCAUGAUUUUCAAGAGCUCUGAAUUUUAGAGGUAUGCAAAUAACGUUCUUCAAUUCCUUGGCAAAUGUAAAACAUACCAUCUCCAGCUGAUGAUAUUUUUAGCAAUUAGUUUUUUUCUAGGCUGAAAAUGAAACCAGCAAUUUCUACCAGAAAGUUAAAACCAUUUAAAAAACUCCAAUAAAAAUGGGUCUUUCUUUCCAAAUGAGAAGCUGUUUAUAACAUGAAAAUUAAAACAUUUUGUUUCAAAAUAUGAAAAUGGAAUAUUUGGACCUUCUUAUGGAGUGAGAUAUUUUAUUGAAACUGAGAUGAAUGGGUAAAUAUUUCAGUGUCACAGAAUCUGAAUUUCUUCACUGAAAUAAAAUUUUAUUAAGAAAUAUUAGCUUUGCCAAGCUCCUUUUAGCUUUCAGUGGACACGACUGAUAUAUGUUUAUUAAAGCGAAAUAAUUGUUUGUGUACAUAAAUCUGGAAUUUGCAAUAUAAUAUCAGUUUAUGGUGUUGUAGUGAUUUUUUUUUUAAUGAAAGAUAAAAGGUCAGUGGUGUACUGUAGUUUCUUACAUAAGCAGCAAGAGUGAAGUCAAUAGGUACACCAGAUAAGGGAAUAGAGCAGAGCGAAGACACUGUGAGGUAUUAGUUGCUGUAAGUUUGCUUACUGUCAGCAUCACAAUUACAACAGUAACUUACUGAACUAGUUCAGCUUACAUGGCUCAGUUUUCCUCAAA